rnacentral:rRNA from 1 species
UACGGAGGAUGCAAGCGUUAUCCGGAAUCAUUGGGCGUAAAGCGUCCGCAGGUGGCUCUUCAAGUCUGCCGUCAAAACUCAGGGCUUAACCCUGAACAGGCGGUGGAAACUGAAAAGCUAGAGUGCGGUAGGGGUAGAGGGAAUUCCCGGUGUAGCGGUGAAAUGCGUAGAGAUCGGGAAGAACACCAGUGGCGAAAGCGCUCUGCUGGACCUGCACUGACACUGAGGGACGAAAGCUAGGGGAGCGAAUGGG